UACGGGAGGCAGCAGUGGGGAAUAUUGCACAAUGGGCGCAAGCCUGAUGCAGCCAUGCCGCGUGUAUGAAGAAGGCCUUCGGGUUGUAAAGUACUUUUAGUCGUGAGGAAGGUGUUAAGGUUAAUAACCUUAGCAAUUGACGUUAGCGACAGAAGAAGCACCGGCUAACUCCGUGCCAGCAGCCGCGGUAAUACGGAGGGUGCGAGCGUUAAUCGGAAUUACUGGGCGUAAAGGGCACGCAGGCGGUUAAUUAAGUUGGAUGUGAAAUCCCCGGGCUUAACCUGGGAAUGGCAUUCAAGACUGGUUAGCUAGAGUCUUGUAGAGGGGGGUAGAAUUCCAUGUGUAGCGGUGAAAUGCGUAGAGAUGUGGAGGAAUACCGGUGGCGAAGGCGGCCCCUGGACAAAGACUGACGCUCAUGUGCGAAAGCGUGGGGAGCAAACAGGGAUUAGAUACCCGU
rnacentral:rRNA from 1 species